GCUCCCUGAUUCAGCGGCGGACGGGUGAGUAAUGCCUAGGAAUCUGCCUGGUAGUGGGGGACAACGUUUCGAAAGGAACGCUAAUACCGCAUACGUCCUACGGGAGAAAGUGGGGGAUCUUCGGACCUCACGCUAUCAGAUGAGCCUAUGUCGGAUUACCUAGUUGGUGAGGUAAAGGCUCACCAAGGCGACGAUCCGUAACUGGUCUGAGAGGAUGAUCAGUCACACUGGAACUGAGACACGGUCCAGACUCCUACGGGAGGCAGCAGUGGGGAAUAUUGGACAAUGGGCGAAAGCCUGAUCCAGCCAUGCCGCGUGUGUGAAGAAGGUCUUCGGAUUGUAAAGCACUUUAAGUUGGGAGGAAGGGCAGUAAGUUAAUACCUUGCUGUUUUGACGUUACCGACAGAAUAAGCACCGGCUAACUUCGUGCCAGCAGCCGCGGUAAUACGAAGGGUGCAAGCGUUAAUCGGAAUUACUGGGCGUAAAGCGCGCGUAGGUGGUUCGUUAAGUUGGAUGUGAAAGCCCCGGGCUCAACCUGGGAACUGCAUCCAAAACUGGCGAGCUAGAGUAUGGCAGACGGUGGUGGAAUUUCCUGUGUAGCGGUGAAAUGCGUAGAUAUAGGAAGGAACACCAGUGGCGAAAGCGACCACCUGGGCUAAUACUGACACUGAUGUGCGAAAGCGUGGGGAGCAAACAGGAUUAGA
rnacentral:rRNA from 1 species